UUUAAAUUCUUCUUCAUUAAUUACUACUAUAUUAUGCUUUCCAAAAUUACUAAAUGUUUCUUCAGUCCUAGAACUUUUUAUUUCUUUUAGGAAAAAGAAAAAAAGUUUAGCAGGCAGAAGAAUUUCGUGGAGUAAUUUUGGCCAUUUCGGACAAUAUAUACAACUGGUGUAAAAUCAAUGGACGAAAAGCAUGAUAACAUAGCAAAACUCAGGGUACCACCACAACUUGAACUUGAUAUGCAUGCAAUCAAAAAUCAUGAGCACGCGUCGCUGUUGAUAAUGUCACCCGCAAAUCACCGAAACAGACAUCAUCAAAAGGAGAACGUACUUCGAAGCGCGAGAGUGAAUUGCCUGUGUUCCCCUACAACUCAUGUUGGUUCUUUUAGGUGCCGGCACCACCGUAAUUCCCCUCGACCUCGUGGCAGUGACUCCAUUGGUUCGAACCUCUCCGAGCUAGGUGCUAAAUCGGGUGGAGUGAGUGAUACUGUGCAAGUUUAAUGGAAAUUUCAUUGUGUAUGUAAUUUGGUUGGAAAUUUACGCACAUAAUUUAUUUUAACCCGAUUACAGCAUUUACUUUUGCCUUUUGGGA